UGAAUACGAGACGCUAGGCGUCGAAGUAGUGUAUGUCAUACUUCCAAGAAAAGCUUGCACUGUCAUAAGUAAAAAAUGCCUGUACCAUAACCGACACAGGUGGGUAGGUAGAGUAUACUAAGGGGCGCGAGAUAACUCUCUCUAAGGAACUCGGCAAAAUGACUCCGUAACUUCGGGAGAAGGAGUGCCUUAUUUAUAAGGUUGCAAUAACAAGAUCCAAGCAACUGUUUAUCAAAAACACAGGUCUCCGCUAAGUCGUAAGACGAUGUAUGGGGGCUGACGCCUGCCCAGUGCCAGAAGGUUAAAGAAGUUGGUUAGUGUAUGCGAAGCUGAUGACUGAAGCCCUGGUGAACGGCGGCCGUAACAAUAACGGUCCUAAGGUAGCGAAAUUCCUUGUCGGGUAAGUUCCGACCCGCACGAAAGGCGUAAUGAUUUGGAUACUGUCUCGGAGAGAGGCUCGGUGAAAUAGACUUGUCUGUGAAGAUGCGGACUACCUGCACCAGGACAGAAAGACCCUAUGAAGCUUUACUGUAACUUGAAAUUGGAAUUGGACUUUGCUUGCGCAGUAUAGGUGGGAAGCGUUGAAGAUAUUCUUGCGGGAGUAUUGGAGCUAUCAGUGAGAUACCACUCUUGUAAUGUUAGAUUUCUAACUUUGAACCAUAAUCUGGUCAAAGAACAGUUUCAGGUGGGCAGUUUGACUGGGGCGGUCGCCUCCCAAAUGGUAACGGAGGCGUACAAAGGUUUCCUCUGAACGGAUAGAAAUCGUAUCUAGAGUGUAAAGGCAUAAGGAAGCUUGACUGUGAGACCUACAAGUCGAGCAGGGACGAAAGUCGGUCUUAGUGAUCUGACGGUACUGAGUGGAAAGGCCGUCACUCAACGGAUAAAAGUUACUCUAGGAUAACAGGCUGAUCUCCCCCAAGAGUUCACAUCGACGGGGAGGUUUGGCACCUCGAUGUCGGCUCAUCGCAUCCUGGGGCGGUAGUACGUCCCAAGGGUUGGGCUGUUCGCCCAUGAAAGCGGUACGCGAGCUGGGUUCAGAACGUCGUGAGACAGUUCGGUCCAUAUCCGGUGUAGGCGUUAGAAUAUUGAGAGGAGCCUUCUUUAGUACGAGAGGACCGAGAAGGACACACCGCUGGUGUACCAGUUAUCGUGCCAACGGUAAACGCUGGGUAGCUAUGUGUGGAGUGGAUAACCGCUGAAAGCAUCUAAGUGGGAAGCCCACCUCAAGAUGAGUGCUCUCACAGGGUUAACCUGGUAAGGUCACGGGAAGACCACCCGUUAAUAGGCACUAGGUGGAAGCCCAGUAAUGGAUGGAGCCAAGGUGUACUAACAGACCGAGGGC
rnacentral:rRNA from 1 species